UGGGGAAUUUUGGACAAUGGGGGCAACCCUGAUCCAGCCAUUCCGCGUGAGUGAAGAAGGCCUUCGGGUUGUAAAGCUCUUUCAGCUGGAACGAAACGGUGCGCUCUAACAUAGCGCGCUACUGACGGUACCAGCAGAAGAAGCACCGGCUAACUACGUGCCAGCAGCCGCGGUAAUACGUAGGGUGCGAGCGUUAAUCGGAAUUACUGGGCGUAAAGCGUGCGCAGGCGGAUUGUUAAGCAAGACGUGAAAUCCCCGGGCUUAACCUGGGAAUGGCGUUUUGAACUGGCAGUCUAGAGUGCGUCAGAGGGGGGUGGAAUUCCACGUGUAGCAGUGAAAUGCGUAGAGAUGUGGAGGAACACCGAUGGCGAAGGCAGCCCCCUGGGAUGACACUGACGCUCAUGUACGAAAGCGUGGGUAGCAAACA
rnacentral:rRNA from 1 species